AUUGAACGCUGGCGGCAGGCCUAACACAUGCAAGUCGAGCGGGGUUUUCGGACCUAGCGGCGGACGGGUGAGUAAUGCGUAGGAAGCUGCCCGAGAGAGGGGGAUACCAGUUGGAAACGACUGUUAAUACCGCAUAAUGUCUACGGACCAAAGUGUGGGACCUUCGGGCCACAUGCUAUCGGAUGCGCCUACGUGGGAUUAGCUAGUUGGUGAGGUAAUGGCUAACCAAGGCGACGAUAUCUAGCUGGUUUGAGAGGAUGAUCAGCCACACUGGAACUGAGACACGGUCCAGACUCCUACGGGAGGCAGCAGUGGGGAAUAUUGGACAAUGGGCGCAAGCCUGAUCCAGCCAUGCCGCGUGUGUGAAGAAGGCCUUCGGGUUGUAAAGCACUUUCAGCGAGGAGGAAGGGUGGUGUGUUAAUAGCACAUCAUUUUGACGUUACUCGCAGAAGAAGCACCGGCUAACUCUGUGCCAGCCGCCGCGGUAAGAC
rnacentral:rRNA from 1 species